AGUGAACGCUGGCGGUAGGCCUAACACAUGCAAGUCGAACGGCAGCACAGUAAGAGCUUGCUCUUACGGGUGGCGAGUGGCGGACGGGUGAGGAAUACAUCGGAAUCUACUUUUUCGUGGGGGAUAACGUAGGGAAACUUACGCUAAUACCGCAUACGACCUACGGGUGAAAGCAGGGGAUCUUCGGACCUUGCGCGAUUGAAUGAGCCGAUGCCGGAUUAGCUAGUUAGCGGGGUAAAGGCCCACCAAGGCGACGAUCCGUAGCUGGUCUGAGAGGAUGAUCAGCCACACUGGAACUGAGACACGGUCCAGACUCCUACGGGAGGCAGCAGUGGGGAAUAUUGGACAAUGGGCGCAAGCCUGAUCCAGCCAUACCGCGUGGGUGAAGAAGGCCUUCGGGUUGUAAAGCCCUUUUGUUGGGAAAGAAAAGCAGCAGGUUAAUACCCCGCUGUUCUGACGGUACCCAAAGAAUAAGCACCGGCUAACUUCGUG
rnacentral:rRNA from 1 species